AACACCCGCUAAAUCACAAGUCGGCUUAAAGUCAGUUUUUGGUCGUUGAUCAUCUACUCACAGGGCUAUUCAGGGAAGAAUCUACAAGUCAUCAUCCACGAAGACUCUGUACGAAAUUGCAGGCCACUGGGACAAGACGGUCACAGCUAAAGAUCCUAUGAGUGGUAAGCUCCGAAUUAUAUACAACGCGAAGGAAGCCAUUGGUGGACUAAAGACACCUGUAGUUAGGAAUCCCAAGUCCUACUCCUAUAGGGAUUGUGGGCAAGUGAAUCAGCAGUGGUGUGGGGUGAGGUUAACAAGGGAAUACUGAGCAA